GACACGCCGCCCACCGCAGCCCCAGCCUCUCGCGUGGGGCCUCUGCCCGCACACACGCAGCCAGGCACUGUAAGCAUCUUCACUUUUUGUUUUUUGCUGAUGUUGAUUUAGUUGCUAAUUGGUGACAGAAAUUGUCAAAUAGGUGGCAGAUAGCGACUGCGGAAACUUCCGUUGAAGGAGGUGAGAAAAUCCUUUCAAAGAUGAACUGCCGCCUGAAAAGGGAUGGCUCACUAAAUUUCUCCCAGAUAUUUAUUGCUCGUAUUAAAAAGAUAAAUCAGAAAAGAGGAGCGAAGGCAUAAACCAGGCUUCUAAUGUGAGGAAAAACACGGAAUGACAAGUGUGGGAAAGAGCAAGCACUAAAUUACUGUCAGAAAAAUAAACGGAGUAGCACAGUGCUGCUCGGUGAUUUACGGGGGCAAUUAGUCACCACCCCACGGCGCUGCUGAGGACAGCACGGCAGCAGACAAGUCAGGCCCAUGAGGAAGAAGAGGCUUUGCACUGCUCUCCAGACAACUUUUCAAACAACAAGAGAGGAUAUUUGAGCACAUUAGGUUUUGUGUCUUCAUUCUGGCCGUGUGAAGAUGUGCCUGCUUCGCCUUCCAUCAUGACUGAAGUUUCCUGAGGCCUCCCCAGCUAUGCUCCCUAUACAGCCUGCAGAACGGUCGGCUGCCUCCAAUCCUGAGGUCAUCACUCAUCAAGAGGGGAUAAUCCCAGGGACAGCAGGAUCUGCUUCGUUACUUGGAUUUAGGAGCCAGAAACCCAUCAGGCAACUAAACAGUAACAAUGACCCGCCAUUAAACACACUGAGAGAAGAGCAUGAUGAAGAGUUUGUACAAGAAGAAGCCAGGAGCACUUGCUGACAAUGCUUACAGAGACGCAGGCUUCUAUGAGCUCUGCCUGUUGAACUGCAGUAAAAAUAGAUCUCCUUCCCCAGAGAGGCUUGGAUGUGGGCACAAUAUCAGUUCAGACGAUGGUCAAUGCAUGUACUUAAUAGAGUGAAAAGACUUUGGACUGUGAAGUCAGAUUACCUGGGUCUGAAUUGUUAUUCUUCUACUUCUUUGUAGUAUGCUUUCACCACAUUAAAAAUUGUCUGAGCCUCAAUUUUUUUAUCUGCAAAAUGGAGCUAAUACCUACACAGGGGCUUUUAAGAGAAUCAAAUGCAACAAUGUUUGAAAAGCAACAUACUCCCCUUUAUGGAAAAAGAGCCUGUAAA
rnacentral:lncRNA from 1 species